GUCGGCGUGCUUAACACAUGCAAGUCGAACGGAAAGGCCCUGCUUUUGUGGGGUGCUCGAGUGGCGAACGGGUGAGUAACACGUGAGUAACCUGCCCUUGACUUUGGGAUAACUUCAGGAAACUGGGGCUAAUACCGGAUAGGAGCUCCUGCUGCAUGGUGGGGGUUGGAAAGUUUCGGCGGUUGGGGAUGGACUCGCGGCUUAUCAGCUUGUUGGUGGGGUAGUGGCUUACCAAGGCUUUGACGGGUAGCCGGCCUGAGAGGGUGACCGGCCACAUUGGGACUGAGAUACGGCCCAGACUCCUACGGGAGGCAGCAGUGGGGAAUAUUGCACAAUGGGCGGAAGCCUGAUGCAGCAACGCCGCGUGCGGGAUGACGGCCUUCGGGUUGUAAACCGCUUUCGCCUGUGACGAAGCGUGAGUGACGGUAAUGGGUAAAGAAGCACCGGCUAACUACGUGCCAGCAGCCGCGGUGAUACGUAGGGUGCGAGCGUUGUCCGGAUUUAUUGGGCGUAAAGGGCUCGUAGGUGGUUGAUCGCGUCGGAAGUGUAAUCUUGGGGCUUAACCCUGAGCGUGCUUUCGAUACGGGUUGACUUGAGGAAGGUAGGGGAGAAUGGAAUUCCUGGUGGAGCGGUGGAAUGCGCAGAUAUCAGGAGGAACACCAGUGGCGAAGGCGGUUCUCUGGGCCUUUCCUGACGCUGAGGAGCGAAAGCGUGGGGAGCGAACAGGCUUAGAUACCCUGGUAGUCCACGCUGUAAACGGUGGGUACUAGGUGUGGGGUCCAUUCCACGGGUUCCGUGCCGUAGCUAACGCUUUAAGUACCCCGCCUGGGGAGUACGGCCCGCAAGGCUAAAACUCAAAGGAAUUGACGGGGCCCCGCACAAGCGGCGGAGCAUGCGGAUUAAUUCGAUGCAACGCGUAGAACCUUACCUGGGUUUGACAUGGAUCGGGAGUGCUCAGAGAUGGGUGUGCCUCUUUUGGGGUCGGUUCACAGGUGGUGCAUGGCUGUCGUCAGCUCGUGUCGUGAGAUGUUGGGUUAAGUCCCGCAACAAGCGCAACCCUUGUUCACUGUUGCCAGCACGUUAUGGUGGGGACUCAGUGGAGACCGCCGGGGUCAACUCGGAGGAAGGUGGGGAUGACGUCAAGUCAUCAUGCCCCUUAUGUCCAGGGCUUCACGCAUGCUACAAUGGCUGGUACAGAGAGUGGCGAGCCUGUGAGGGUGAGCGAAUCUCGGAAAGCCGGUCUCAGUUCGGAUUGGGGUCUGCAACUCGACCUCAUGAAGUCGGAGUCGCUAGUAAUCGCAGAUCAGCAACGCUGCGGUGAAUACGUUCCCGGGGCUUGUACACACCGCCCGUCAAGUCAUGAAAGUUGGUAACACCCGAAGCCGGUGGCCUAACCGUUGUGGGGGAGCCGUCGAAGGUGGGACUGGUGA
rnacentral:rRNA from 1 species